GGGGAUUUAGCUCAGUGGUAGAGCGCUUGCCUAGCAAGCGCAAGGCCCUGGGUUUAGUCCCCA
rfam:Rattus norvegicus chromosome 5, whole genome shotgun sequence.